rnacentral:rRNA from 1 species
UACGAAGGGGGCUAGCGUUGUUCGGAAUUACUGGGCGUAAAGGGCGCGUAGGCGGCUUCAUACGUCAGGAGUGAAAUCCCCAGGCUCAACCUGGGAAUUGCUUUUGAGACUAUGGAGCUUGAGUACAGGAGAGGUGAGUGGAAUUCCCAGUGUAGAGGUAAAAUUCGUAGAUAUUAGGAAGAACACCGGUGGCGAAGGCGGCCCACUGGUCCGGUACUGACGCUGAGGUGCGAAAGCGUGGGGAGCAAACAGG